ACAUACGACCAUACCUACCAGAAAAUACGGGAUCCCGUCCGCUCUCCCAUAGUCAAGCUGGUAAGGGGCGGAUUAGUAGUUGGGUCGGUGACGACCAGCGAAUCCCCGCUGUUGUAUGUA
rfam:Fusarium graminearum chromosome 3, complete genome